UACGUAGGUGGCAAGCGUUGUCCGGAUUUAUUGGGUUUAAAGGGUGCGUAGGUGGUCUAUUAAGUCAGUGCUGAAAUACCCCGGCUUAACCGGGAGGGUGGCAUUGAUACUGAUGGACUUGAGCAAAGUUGAGGUGGGCGGAAUUGACGGUGUAGCGGUGAAAUGCUUAGAUAUCGUCAAGAACACCUAUUGCGAAGGCAGCUCACUAAGCUCUAACUGACACUGAGGCACGAAAGUGUGGGGAUCAAACAGG
rnacentral:rRNA from 1 species